UACGUAGGGGGCAAGCGUUGUCCGGAAUCAUUGGGCGUAAAGCGCGUGUAGGCGGCCCGGUAAGUCCGCUGUGAAAGUCGGGGGCUCAACCCUCGAAUGCCGGCGGAUACUGUCGGGCUAGAGUACGGAAGAGGCGAGUGGAAUUCCUGGUGUAGCGGUGAAAUGACGCAGAUAUCAGGAGGAACACCAAUUGCGAAGGCAGCUCGCUGGGACGUUACUGACGCUGAGACGCGAAAGCGUGGGGAGCAAACAGG
rnacentral:rRNA from 1 species